CCGAGUUCUGGCAGUUCAGUUUCGACGAAAUGGGGCGCUACGACGUUGCCGCGGGCAUAGACCACGUUCUCAACGCCACCGGCGCCACCAAGCUGACGGUCUUGGCAUUCUCCCAGGGAACGAUCGCCAAUUUUAUUCUGCAUUCCACAAGGCCAGAGUACAACGAAAAGGUCUCACUAUUAAUAACAUAUGGCCCUAUUGGAAAUAUCACUCACGUAGGGUAUCCGACCAAGUUGAUUCUUCCAUAUGCGC